CACGGAUAACAUACCGAAAGGUAUGCUAAUACGGGAUAAUAUAUUUGAGAGGCAUCUCUUAAAUAUCAAAGGUGAGCCAGUACAGGAUGGACCCGCGUCUGAUUAGCUAGUUGGUAAGGUAACGGCUUACCAAGGCGACGAUCAGUAGCCGACCUGAGAGGGUGAUCGGCCACAUUGGAACUGAGACACGGUCCAAACUCCUACGGGAGGCAGCAGUGGGGAAUAUUGCACAAUGGGCGAAAGCCUGAUGCAGCAACGCCGCGUGAGUGAUGAAGGCCUUCGGGUCGUAAAACUCUGUCCUCAAGGAAGAUAAUGACGGUACUUGAGGAGGAAGCCCCGGCUAACUACGUGCCAGCAGCCGCGGUAAUACGUAGGGGGCUAGCGUUAUCCGGAUUUACUGGGCGUAAAGGGUGCGUAGGCGGUCUUUCAAGUCAGGAGUGAAAGGCUACGGCUCAACCGUAGUAAGUUCUUGAAACUGGGAGACUUGAGUGCAGGAGAGGAGAGUGGAAUUCCUAGUGUAGCGGUGAAAUGCGUAGAUAUUAGGAGGAACACCAGUUGCGAAGGCGGCUCUCUGGACUGUAACUGACGCUGAGGCACGAAAGCGUGGGGAGCAAACAGGAUUAGAUACCCUGGUAGUCCACGCUGUAAACGAUGAGUACUAGGUGUCGGGGGUUACCCCCUUCGGUGCCGCAGCUAACG
rnacentral:rRNA from 1 species